CCCUGCGCGGCCGGCGCAUGCGCGUGCUAGCGAGAAGCGUGGCGGCGGGCAGAGGCGCGCUUCCGGUCGGUAGGGGCGGGUGAGGGCCGCGGGUCACGGAGAAGCGAGAGCAUCCCUUCGGGUGGCCGCGGGUGCCGGCAUGUCUCCUGGCCGCUGGGACCCUCGCUGUGUGGAGGCGCAGGGCAGGGGCGCUGGCUGGCAAAGUUGUUAUGUCGCAAUGGAGACUCUUAGGCGAGACGGAGGAGUUGAGAUCCGCAGCCCACCAAAAGAACAUCGCCCAGGAGGGGAUGCUAGCCUUGAACUAUAGGUGCUGGUGUUCAGAACCUCGGGGAACGACUAUAUGCUGUGGGAAGAACUACAGGCUACCACCACCCUCGGAUCUUUGUAAGUUAUCAUGCGUCGAGAGCGGCCUGGAGAAUCCAAAUGGCGGCGGAAAGGUUCUCUGCCUGGUCUUGACGAGGAGCCUUCGGCCGCGGGAAGGAUGCUGUUCUGAGGGCCGGCAACUCGAAGAGGAGCAGCUCAGCCUGUUUUGUUGAUUCUGGUGAUACUGUUUUGAGGAAGCAGGGCCCAUCUGUCAGCUAACAAUUAAAGAAGACGGAACAGCCUAUCCACAUAGGAGAGAGCUGACAUAGGAGAACUGAUAUAUGGUAAACGUAAACGCCCUAGACCUCUGGUACGUCACAGGUGUUUGUUUAGAUCUGUGCAUUCAAAUCUAUAGUUCCACAUUCAGAAUGUGGCACUUGUCUGGUAUCUAAUUCCUUUCUGUAGCAUAGAAGCCUCUGUAUAGCUGCCAAUCUCUACAACAGGUUAUCAGAGAGAAUGAGAAUGCUGCGUUUCAGCUCAUGACUGCAAAACAGGCUCCUUUGUGUCCAGUUUCAGAAUUAUGACCUACUUCAUCAUUCUGCUUCAACAUCAUUUCUCAGCAGGAAUGGUAGCACUUUAACUGUGCAGUGGUUGAAACCGGUAAUGUGUAGGCCAGCGCAGUUAUGCUGUACCUUUCUUUGAUAUGCAUUUCAUCCUUGUAUCAGGCUUCUAGGAAAAUAAACAGUACAGAAUUCCAGAAGGUGUGCCUUUAAAUAGGUGGUAAAUCUAGAACAGUUAUACUUCGUCAAGUGCCUAUUCAUUCCGUGAAUAUUACUGCAAGAAUGUGUACGUUACUGAUCCUUUAAAGCGAGUCCAUGGCACUGGGGUAGCAUGUGUUCUGAAGACUAAAUCCAAGAGCAACUCAUUUUGAUGCUGUUCUCUUAUAUGAAAGCACUUAGAGCAGAUUAAAACAUUUAUCGUCCUAUUUUGUUUAUUGAAUGGACUGUGAGACUCGGAAAAACCUGCAGCAAAGGAGACACGGUAGUCAGUUUCCUUGGAGAAGGUGUCUUGUCCUGUACUUUAGGGCUUCCUGUACAUUUUGACAGACAGUAGUGAAUGACCGGUCUCCUUUGAAUCCCUGGGCAGCAGAAGGUUCUGACUGGAAGGCAAAAUGUUUCUUGCAGCCGGGUUUGAAGAAGCUGGCUACCAAUCAAAAGUAAUGACCAGCUACCAAUCAAAAGUAAUGACCAAUCUGUGGAGUCACUGGAAGUUUUUAAAAGACAGUUGUCACCUUUAAUGGAAGGUGAUGUGCUUUCGUUACUAAUCCCUGUAGUAAUCGAGCCAGGUAAGUGAUACGAGGCGGGUCAAGCCCAUUAGUCUUUAGGCUGUGAUCCCUCUUACACAAGUCCAGAUAUUUUAGAAACUGAACAAGCCUUUUUAGCUUGUUUCCUGUAGUACCGCAAAAGGCGAUCAGAAUGCUAAUGUUUUUGUGCUUUAACAUGGUAGACAUACUCUGUGCAAACAUCUCUUACUGUUUAAUAAUAAAAACUGAGUGGUCUGUUGAGACAAUAGUGUAGCUUGCUUUUGGCUGUUUAUUUUGUUUAACAAUCGAUGAAGGUGAGAGGUCCAAAGUCCUAAAGAUGACCAUUGCUUGUUUAAUGGUUGCAAAUUGUCCCGUUAAGUAGUGUGUUUGUGUGUGUUUUUUUAACUGCAGCCUCUGAGAGUUUUUUGUCUGUAGCGUAUUUUGCAAUGUUAGAAUGAAAGCUUUGUUAAUAAAGCCUCUAGUAUAAUACUAA